CAUGACGAACAUGACGAGCAAAUCAGAAACCCACAGGAGUCCUAGAACGAUGGGAAAAAAGGGGUAAAUUGGAAUGAUUCUAGUUGUCAUUGCAAAAUACAGAAUAUGACUUAAUCAAAUGGAUCAUCGAGAUAUACAAGUAUAAAAAUAUAGAAGACGAUUACAAAUAGCAGCUGAGGCUGAAGUGUUUUGCAUCACAAAACUCUCAAACAUUGGAAGUGUUAAUGAGAAAACAUGGAUUACAACCAAGGAAUAUCUGAUGAUACAGACUUCAAAGAAAUAAUGUCAUCCAUGUCAAGGUGGUAUGAUCGCCAUGGAUACAUCAACAAGUUGAAAGUUUUGUACAGAGAUCUUGUAUCAGAACUUGAUAAGCUGUAUGCUGCCACUAAGGUGUUUCAUUUGUUUGAGUUAUUAAUUACCUCGGGACAUCUAAGUUCCAAUAAUCUAACUGUCCUAUAUGAUACUAUCAAUGUUACUCAUCCAUUUGGUUUGGAACCAGAAUUCUGGAAGUUGUCGUCAACAUGCUUUGAUAUUAGGACAGCCAAAAUCUCCAAUAUUACUCGUAACAGACAAAUUCUGAUCCAGGUGAUUGAAAGUCUCGUUGAAAAUGAUCUCAAGUAUAUUUCUCAAAGAUACAAUUGUCCACAAAAGGAAGACGUUUGGAAAUUCUUUGUGGACUUGGAACAAAAUAAGGUGUUUUGUGAAGAAAAUUUGGAUGACUUUAUGAAAAAUAUAACAACAUACCAUAUAUUAGUUUCACGUAAAGACCCUCUAGGAUUGAGAGGCACUGGUGAUGCUGCUACAAAAGAUGAUAGCUCAAAAACCUCUGCAGAGAACCAAGAGAAGACUAUGGUGACUGAUGACACAGAUACUCCUAGAAAUGCUUGUACAAGUACAUCCGCAGAGAGCCAAAAGAAGCUUUUGGUGACUGACGACACAAAUGCUCCAAGAAAUCUUUGUACAAGUGCAUCUACAGUGCAUGUUUCAGAGAGCCAAGAGAAUCAUAUGGUGUCUGAUGACACAGAUGCUACAACAAAUGCUUGUACAAGUGCAUCUACAGCAGGAGCUUGCAUAGUGAAUAAAAUAAUUAGUCAAAACAAUAAAGGUUCUAUAAUAGGAAGUCAGAUCAUAGGUUGUAAUGUUGAAACACUUGUUGUUAACAACACAAUUACAGUGAAUCAAGAACCAAAGGACACAGAUUUAUCAGCAUCUAGAAACAAUGAAGUGGUCAUCAGAAAUUACUUGGAUCAGUGGCAGAGAAAAGUAUAUAAGAAUUUGAACAAAAUGACACCUCCAACCUGGAAUCAAGAGUCUGAAAUUGAUCUUGCAGAAGUAUUCACAGAUCUCGAGCUACUCAAAAAAAAAGGACAUGAUAAUACCAGUAAAGAUACAACUCUACAGGAGCUAAUUAGUUUGAUACAGUCUCAGAGAGCAUGUAAAGUUUUUGUAGAAGGUAAAGGCGGGAUGGGAAAGUCAACACUCUUAAAACAUCUUGCGUAUCAUUGGGCUAAUAAGAUUGAUGAUCCUUUCCCAGAAAAAAUUGUAUUUCUUGUCAAUCUCAGAGAUUUAAAAAAAGAUGAAGAUGUUGUUGAUGUGAUUAUUAGACAAAUUAACAAGAAAGAUUUUGAUAGAAAAACAAAGUUAGAUACAGGUUUGAUUGUAGAUUUUUUAAUGGAACGUGAUGAUGAGAUUGUAUUGUUACUGGAUGGGUAUGAUGAAUUGGAAAAAAGUGCUCAAGAUCCAGUUAGUUUAUUUGAAAGAAAGGAAUUGGAGAACAGCCAAGUUAUACUGACAUCACGUCCUGAGAAUGUACAUAUGAUUGUUAAGAAAUGUGAUGUCCAUGUCAGAGUGGAGGGAUUCAGCCCAGGUAAAAUCAAGUUUUAUAUCAGAAAGCACUUUAAAUACAUUAAAAUGCCAGAGUUAGGAGAGUCUUUAAUUACAGAGUUGCAUCUUGACCGAAAAGAUAAAUAUGAAUGGGGAGGAAGACAUCGUGAAGCAUUUGAGAUAUGUAGAUCACCAAUGUUGUUACUAAAGAUAUGUACAGUAUGGAAGGAAAAUCAGUGUAUUCCAGUGGAUAUGCCAACUCUCUUCAAAGAAAUCUUCCGAUGCAUUUUGAAUCAGUACAUGAACCGCAGUGGCACUGACAAACCAAUCAGUAAAUUUGAGGAGGCUUCUAAAAAAUAUGUUAAAGCUUUAGAAAUUUUAGGUAAAUGCAUGUAUAAAUCCAUACAAAAUAAUAGGUUGUUUAUAAAUAGAAAUGAUUUGGAAGGUGAUGAGGAAACCGUAGAUCUUGCAAUAAAACUUGGAUUUGUUUACAAGGAACAACCUACUGUGGAAGAUGACUUUAGUCAGAUUUUCAUGACCCCUCACAAGUUGAUUUUUGAGUCAUUAGUAGGGUUCUACUUAUGCAGACAUACUCGAUCUUUCUCGAUUGAUGAAGGAGACACAAUUAGGGCAAAUCCAUAUCUGGGCAUGUCACGAGUGUUUGCAAUAGGAUUCCUAGGUGCUGAUGCAGGUGAAUUUCUUAAACAUUGGAUCACAGAUGAUGUUAGUUGGUAUUGUGCUCUAGCAAGGUGUUUUAACUUAGUAAAGAAAGAGCAUGAAGGGCAAGUUCUCUUGGUAUUAGAUGAAUACAUAGAAAAGAGAAUCCCUGAUACUAAGCCACUUCUUAAAGAUGUAUGCACAUCCCUGAGAAGCUUCCUCCGGCAUAAUGUAGAAAGUGUGAAAGUUGAAGAUGAUGAACAUAUAUUAUUUCUUGUUAAAAAAAUGCUUCAGCUUGAUGAGUUGAAGUUUGUACCCACAGUGAGGAAAUGGUUCAAAUCCCUAUCAGGGAAUGCUUCAUUUUGUAAUUUUGGACAAACAUUUGCACAUAUUAUAUUUGUUAAAGAUUCUCCACUAUUUAUUAACAGUAUGUUUCGAAAUCCUGAUAUAUAUGGCCAUCAAGAUAAUAUCCAGGCUCUUAAUGCCGAGUUUAAAAAAUUCAAUUUUAAAUACUCUGCGGAUUGCAUUUCAUUUGCUUUUAGUAGGAUUUCUGCUUCAGCUGUGAUUCAUGUACUACAUUAUGCACCAAUGCUUACUACUCUUAAUCUUGUAAAUAGUGGCAUAACGGGUAAAGAUGUCAAUGAAGUAAUCCGUGAAGUUAUAGAAACAGGAGAUGAGCUAGCUUUAGAGGAAUUAGAUUUAAAUUGUAAUGAUCUGAGUGAUAUUGAUAUGUCCUCUAUUAUCUCUUUACUUCUUGUUGUUCCUAAGCUUCAUAUUGAUAUGUAUAAGUGUUGUCUGUUGGGAGCUAAUGUGAGAGAUUUAUUGACAGAAUAUAAGAAAAGGAUGUGUAAAAAAAAAGGAAUCAUAUUACCCAUUGUUAUUAAAAAUUCUGAAGAUACUGUUAAUUCAUUUCUAGGGGGAAAAUUUCGAAAUGAUCUUUCAGACAUCGAUGGAAAAUCACUUACAUUUUUACUCUUGGAAAUUGGUUCCACAGACUAUUUUUUGUGGAGUUUGCCAAAGUUGACAUGCAAGAAUUUGAAAGACCUAAUACAUGAGUGUGAUAAGCAUAACAUUCGACCUAAUCUUGCUAUAUUGGAUGUUAGUGGUGUUGAUCUGUCCUCAAUUAGUGGAGCUGAUUUAGCCAAACUAUUGACUGUCUUCCCAAUGCUGGUCGCCUUGGUACUAAGUGGGUGCCAACUGUCUUUUAACGUAAUCAAGGACCUUCUGAAUAAACUUGAAAAUACAGAUGGUAUUGUUAACUCAUUUGGCAAUGACUUUUCAGACAUUUAUGUCUCAUCCUUUGCUAAGCUUCUUAAGAUGGUUGAUAAUAAUGAUCAUGACGUCAUCUUCAGAAUAUGGACAUGUUCUAAUAAAUCAGGUGGUACGUCAUACAUAGUCUAUGAACCCACACAUGGACCCUUCUUUGAAUCUUGGAGUUUUUGGAUACAAUAUUUUCUUAAAAAGGAGGUUGUCUGCAAACAGGGGAUUUUUUAGCCAGCGAGCCGUCCGGUCGUCUUUUGGAAGACCAACAGUUAUUUAAGACAGCCACUUUUACCGUGACAGCUUGAACUAAUAGCUCGGCCUAGCUUAAUUGGGCCUAGUCUACUUUAGCAAAUUCUUCAAAUCUAUCGAAUGUUACAUUAAACUAAAAGCUAAAUCAUAUUUAUGUUUGAUAGAAACAACAUUUGUUGAUUGGAUGUAUGUUGUUUUCAUACCAAUAUUUUCUGGUGAUUACCAAAAAUGUAAGGCUAGUUCACUUGCAAAGGGCGUCGUGUAAAAAACAUUUAUGCCCCACUGGAAAAUGGAUGGUUCUGAGUCACCCACAACGAAUGCAAGUGGCUCUGCAUAUACAGUACAUGAGAUUCGGUUCCCUGACAUAAUAUAGUAUGUAUUCUUGGUGUUCAUAACUUUCUGGUUAUAAUGAAUUCAUAAUAUAGUAAAGAACAUUUAACAUCACAAGUUAAAUUUUAUUAGUCAACAAAAUACAGUAGGCCUUGGCCUAUCUCUUGAUUCGGAGGACCUAGAGAAGAAUUUACGCUAGACUAGUAGGGCAAGAGAUGAAGAUGCAUCUGCAUAGCCUAGAAAAAUUGUGAGUAAACAACCGUAGCCGAGCUGUGCGCAGUCCAUGUCUAUAAUUGAAAUAUCUUUGUGAUAACUAAUUCAACACUAUUCCUUUGAAGACAAGAUUCCAACAUUUAAACACCUUUAAAUGCCCUCUAAUAAUAAUUUUCUAUAUUUUUCUUAUGAGAACGAGUGUUUGCCAUAGGAUUCCUAGGUGCUGAUGCUGGUGAAUUUCUUAAACAUUGGAAUACAGAUAGUGCUAUUUGGAAUUGUUUUCUAGCAAGAUAUCUUAACUUUGUAAAGAAAGAGCAUGAAGAGCAAGUUCUCUUGGUAUUAGAAGAAUACAUUGCAAAGAAAAUCCCUGACACUAUGUCAUUUCUUGAAGAUGUAUGCACAGGUUUGAGAGGCUUCCUCUAGCAUAGUGUUCAGAGUGUGGAAGUUAAAGAUAAUGAACAUAUAUUUCUUCUCUUUAAAAAAAUACAUCAGGAUGUACUUGACGCUGAAGACGUUUUUGUAACUGCAGUAAGGCGUUGUGUCAACUCUGUGUCAAGUAGUGUUUCAUUUUGUAAUUUUUGAUGUUAUUCAGGGUAUUAGUGUUGAGUUUGAAAAAUUUCAUUUUAAAUACAAUAUGGAUUACAUUACAUUUUAUUCUAUUAGCCUCAGUGCAUCAGCCCUGAUUCAUGAACUACAUUAUGCACCAAUGCUUAGUGUACUUACUGUUGUAAAUUGUGGUUUAUCAGUUAAAGAUGUCAAUGAAGUAAUCUGCGCAUUUACAGAACUGGAGAUGAGUUAGCUUUAGAGCUGUUAAUUUAUAAUAAUAAUAAUAAUUUAUUCACUUAUAUUGCGCAAAUUACAUAAAAAUAUGUUCAAAUGACGCAUUACAUAAAGUCAAUUAAAAUAGAUUAAAAUUGACAUUUCAAUAUUAGAGUAAAACCAUUUAAAUUCCAUAAAAAUAUGGUCAAAAGACGUAUUACACAAUAUUUAAAAGUCAAUUAAAAUGGAUAAAAAUUUACGAUUCAAUAUUACAGUAAAACCAUUAACAUUGACAAGUACAGGAAGUACAAUAGUAAAUUAUUUGUUAAAAGCAAUAGUGAAAAAAAUGUGUUUUCAACAGUGUUUUAAAAAUCUCUAGACUACCAGCUUCCCUAAUAAAAGGUGGCAGAUCAUUCCACAGCUGAGGUGCUGCAUAUUCAAAUGCACGUCACCUUGUGUGACUUUAGUGCGACAAACUGGAUAACUUAAGAUUAAAUCAUCAUUGCUACAGAGACUAUAACGAGAACGAGGUUUCUUAGCGAUAAGUAACUUAAAUAAGAUGGAGCAUAGCCAUUAACACUUUUAUACGUAAGCAACAAAAUUUUGAAAUUUAUUCUAUACCAUACUGGGAGCCAGUGUAACUCAAAUGAUAAUGGCGUAAUGUACAGAAUUUACCUCUAUUGCAAACAAGACGAGCAGAUCAAUUCUGCACAUGUUGUAGUUUAGUAAUCGGGUAGACCACAUAAGAGACUGUUACAAUAAUCUAGACAACUAGUGAUUAUUGCAUAAACUAACAUUCCUGUGCGUUUAUUUGUUAAAUAUUUGCUAAUGUGUCUAAUAUUAUGUAAAAAGUAAAUUAUUGAGCUGCAUAUCUUGGUAACAUGCGAUUUCGUAGACAUGUCGCUAUCAAACCAUGACCCUAAGUUACGAGCACCAGAGACAGGAGCAAUUGAGGACGCCCCUAUUUGGAUACUAGGAAAGUUACGCUUAUCAAGCUGUUGUUGUGUACCAAUCACUAAAAAUUCUGUUUUCUUGUCAUUUUACAUUAACCCAUUUGAUCGCAUCCAAGUGCGCAAUUCACAAAUACAGUUCAUGGUUUUUCAUGGAGCAACAAGGAGUCUAGUGGAAAUCAGAUCUAAGAUACACGAUUUCUUGUUAGAUCCUAAAAUGAGUUUAGUGACACUAUUAAACUCGGAGAGAAUAUUGACAUCACUGUGUUACACUAACUUACAUCAUUACUAACCUUAUGCCUAAUAACCUUUUUAACAAAAAAUGCCUAAUAACCUUUUUAACAAAAAGAGCUGUUAGAGCUAAAUGAAAAUGAUGUGAGUGAUAUAGAUAUGGCCUGUAUUAUAUCUUAACUUCUGGUUGUUCUUAAGCUUUGUAUUGAUAUGUAUAAGUGUUUGUCGGGAAGUAAUGUGAGAGAUUUACUGUAUUGAUUGAAUAUAGGAAAAAGAGGCAUAAAGAAAUUAUAUUUCCCAAUGUUGUAAAUGAUUGUUGUAUUAAAAAUGCCUGCAAAAUUGUGAAAAUCAUUUUUCAGACAUCGAUGGACUGUCACUUGCAUAUUUACUGCAUGAAAUGAUUUUCACAUACAUGUACUAUUCUUUUACGGGGAAUGUGUCUAAGUUGACAUGCAAGAAAGUGUGAUGGUCAUAACAUUCAGCCUAAUCUCAUUUCGUUGGAUAUUAGUGCUGUUGAUCUUUCCUCAAUCAGUGGAGCUGAUUUAGCCAAACCAUUGACUAUCUUUCCGAAGCUGAAUUACUUGGUACUAACUGGGUGCAAGCUCUCUGGUAUUAUAAUCAAGGACCUUCUGAAUGAACUUGAAAGGACAGGUGAUCUACUGAAACUAACAUUGUGAACUUGUUUCAGAAUGACCGUUUCAGGUAGUGAUGGCUCAUCCCUUGCUUCUUUAGAUAAUUGAUAAUAAUCAUGACUACAGUAUUGCAGAACAUGAGCAUGCACAUGAAUAAAUCAGGUGUUACGUACAGUCUACUACAGGUAAUUUGUGUGCAUUUAUAUUUGAAUGUAUCAAGUCUUGUAUUUCCUUCAUUUGGACUUGUAUUUGCUUGUGCAGAAUUAAUCUAUCUUCAGUCAAGGGAUCAACACGUCCGAUUAAAAAUCUGUCCUAACUUGGCCACUCUUGACAUCAGAAGUUGCGUUUUAACAAGCAAGAUAAUAAGUGAUUUUUUUGAAUGACUGCAAUAUGAAUGGAAAUGUAUUAAAACAAUAUGAUCCAUCUCGAUGGGGAGGGGUGAUUGGUUCGAUUGGUGAUGGUAUACGACCUGUAGACCACACACAAUAGGCCCUAAUUGUAACUUUAGAGCACUGAUUAAUAUUUAUUACUUCGUAAUUUGCAUAACAAAUUAUUUAUAAACCAUGGCUUCCUACGAUGUCAUUUAUAUAUAAUGGCACUCGACCUCAA
rnacentral:misc_RNA from 1 species